AUACGUAGGGGGCGAGCGUUGUCCGGAAUGAUUGGGCGUAAAGGGCGCGUAGGCGGCCUGUUAAGUCUGGAGUGAAAGUCCUGUUUUCAAGAUGGGAAUUGCUUUGGAUACUGAUGGGCUUGAGUGCAGGAGAGGUUAUCGGAAUUCCCGGUGUAGCGGUGAAAUGCGUAGAGAUCGGGAGGAACACCAGUGGCGAAGGCGGGUAACUGGACUGCAACUGACGCUGAGGCGCGAAAGUGUGGGGAGCAAACAGGAUUAGAUACCCUGGUAGUCCACACUGUAAACGAUGAAUGCUAGGUGUAAGAGGUAUCGACCCUUUUUGUGCCGGAGUUAACACAAUAAGCAUUCCGCCUGGGGAGUACGGCCGCAAGGUUGAAACUCAAAGGAAUUGACGGGG
rnacentral:rRNA from 1 species